GGACCCAAAGAAAUUAAGUCCAAGUUCAUCCAGGACAGGAUAGCCUCUUCUAUUAAGGCCUUUCUUAAUUUUCCAUUUAAAAGCAAUCAGAAUAUCCAAAUAAAAGAUAUCUUUAUAU